GCCGCGGUAAUUCCAGCUCCAAUAGCGUAUAUUAACGUUGUUGCAGUUAAAAAGCUCGUAGUUGAAGUGUGGGUGAUCGCUGUUGUGAGACUUCGGUCUCUCGACAGUAAGUCACCCCCUUCCAGUAUCCAGUAGUGGGUAUUCAGUUACUUACUAUUGUGUGUUGGUCCUUUACUGUGAGAAAAUUAGAGUGUUCAAAGCAGGCGUUUGCUUGAAUAGAUUAGCAUGGAAUAAUAAUUGAAGGCUUUCGUGUUCGAUUUGAUUGGUUUGUUCAUGGAAGCAAGGUUAAAAGGAACAGUUGGGGGUAUUCAUAUUCACUAGUUAGAGGUGAAAUUCUCGGAUUUAUGGAAGAUGAACAAGUGCGAAAGCAUUUACCAAGGAUGUUUUCAUUAAUCAAGAGCGAAAG
rnacentral:rRNA from 1 species